GCAAGUCGAACGGUAACAUUUCUAGCUUGCUAGAAGAUGACGAGUGGCGGACGGGUGAGUAAUGCUUGGGAACUUGCCUUUGCGAGGGGGAUAACAGUUGGAAACGACUGCUAAUACCGCAUAAUGUCUUCGGACCAAACGGGGCUUCGGCUUCGGCGCAAAGAGAGGCCCAAGUGAGAUUAGCUAGUUGGUAAGGUAACGGCUUACCAAGGCGACGAUCUCUAGCUGUUCUGAGAGGAAGAUCAGCCACACUGGGACUGAGGCACGGCCCAGACUCCUACGGGAGGCAGCAGUGGGGAAUAUUGCACAAUGGGGGAAACCCUGAUGCAGCCAUGCCGCGUGUGUGAAGAAGGCCUUCGGGUUGUAAAGCACUUUCAGUUGUGAGGAAAAGUUAGUAGUUAAUACCUGCUAGCCGUGACGUUAACAACAGAAGAAGCACCGGCUAACUCCGUGCCAGCAGCCGCGGUAAUACGGAGGGUGCGAGCGUUUAUCGGAAUUACUGGGCGUAAAACGCACG
rnacentral:rRNA from 1 species